CUCUUGNNNNUAGAGAAUCCNGCGGAGACGCAGGAGUGCCUUCGGGAACUCUAAGACAGGUGCUGCAUGGCUGUCGUCAGCUCGUGUUGUGAAAUGUUGGGUUAAGUCCCGCAACGAGCGCAACCCUUAUCCUUGUUUGCCAGCGAGUAAUGUCGGGAACUCCAGGGAGACUGCCGGUGAUAAACCGGAGGAAGGUGGGGACGACGUCAAGUCAUCAUGGCCCUUACGAGUAGGGCUACACACGUGCUACAAUGGCGCAUACAGAGGGCAGCAAGCUAGCGAUAGUGAGCGAAUCCCAAAAAGUGCGUCGUAGUCCGGAUUGGAGUCUGCAACUCGACUCCAUGAAGUCGGAAUCGCUAGUAAUCGUAGAUCAGAAUGCUACGGUGAAUACGUUCCCGGGA
rnacentral:rRNA from 1 species